ensembl:lncRNA
GCAUCAAAGGUAAAUGGGAGCAAUUGUCCUCCAUGGACUGAAUGAUGGUAUGAUCUUCCCCAGUAAUGGUUUUGACUCCUCCUGGCUCUGACCAACCCUUACGCUCAAUAGCCCUGUGGGCAAGGUAAGCUCCAGGUAACCAUGGGGCAAGGUAAGAGACGAGAACAUGGCACAGAAACUCACAGGCCACCAGCUAAAAGCAAAAAGGUAAUUAAUGUUAUAGCCUUUUAGAUUCUAGAAAAUACUGCACUUAAAACUGCAAGUCAACGAAGCGGCUGUCAGCAACCGAUAAAUGCUUCCAUAUUCACAGGCAUCAGCAAUCUUCCCCUUACAAAAAAAGUAAUAAUACAUACAUAUUAAUGGAUCACAUUUUGUCCUUUGGGGAGCAUAAUUUUUAAAAGGGCCAAGGCAGCAAUAAUAGUUCCUUUAAAAAUUCUAAAUGCUGUAAUUGUUUUUUCUGAAUUAUGGUGCUAGGAUUUAAUUAGUGAUGAAUGUUCGGUAUGGGGUUUGGACAUUUUUGAUGAAUUCAGCCAAACAGAAAAGUAGUCUUGUCCUCACUACUCUCUGCCUAUCCUCCCCCCGCCCCUUUCCCUCCGCAGGACCCUGAGGUGUGCGUGUACAUGAGAUUGCGUCCAUGGAGGAAUUUCCUUUUCUGCAGUCGGGCCGUAGUUCAGAAGGAGAUUUAACCACAGUUCAACGAGGAACAUGAAACAUGGUCAGCGAGGAACCACAGUGAUCUGACAUGAAGGGAAACUUUCCUCUAAUUUCUUCAGCUCCAAGACGGCUCCCAAUUCCUGUGUCUCUGACAUCUUUGAGAUCCUUGUGAUUGUUGCUAUUGAAGCCCAUCAGUGGGGUAUGUUACCACUGGAUGGCAUAUGAUACCCUGGUUUCAUGGAGCCCUGCUUGCCAAAUGGAAGAAAGGAACCAAUGCUGACUGGAGAUCUCACUGGAUGCUUUUCCACCAACUUUUUGUUCAGCCUAUGGUUAGGAAUAAUCUCACUAUUUUAGAUGAAAAAUUUGAAGUUUAGAUAGGCUGUGUUUUGUCUGCUAAUGUACAAGGAGGAGGGAUAGUAAUUGUGGUGAUAACUGUGUAUCGUGUGCUUCCCAUGAGCCAGGUUCCAGGCUGGGUGCAUCUAUGAAGAAUCCCUUUCAAUCCUCACAACAGCCUAUGAUUCCAACAAUUUUUACUCUUACUCUUUUUUUUUAUGAGUAUAGUUGAUUUACAGUGUUGUGUCAAUUUUUGCUGUACAUUAUAGGGACCCAGUCAUACACACAUACAUAUGUGUGUGUAUAUAUAUAUGUAUGUAUGAAUAAUAUAUAUAUAUAUUCUUUUUCUCAUACUAUCUUCUAUCAUGUUCUGCCCA